GACGAACGCUGGCGGCGUGCCUAAUACAUGCAAGUUGAGCGAUGAAGCUUGGUGCUUGCACCAAUUUGAAGAGCAGCGAACGGGUGAGUAACGCGUGGGGAAUCUGCCUUUGAGCGGGGGACAACAUUUGGAAACGAAUGCUAAUACCGCAUAACAACUUUAAACAUAAGUUUUAAGUUUGAAAGAUGCAAUUGCAUCACUCAAAGAUGAUCCCGCGUUGUAUUAGCUAGUUGGUGAGGUAAAGGCUCACCAAGGCGAUGAUACAUAGCCGACCUGAGAGGGUGAUCGGCCACAUUGGGACUGAGACACGGCCCAAACUCCUACGGGAGGCAGCAGUAGGGAAUCUUCGGCAAUGGACGAAAGUCUGACCGAGCGACGCCGCGUGAGUGAAGAAGGUUUUCGGAUCGUAAAACUCUGUUGGUAGAGAAGAACGUUGGUGAGAGUGGAAAGCUCAUCAAGUGACGGUAACUACCCAGAAAGGGACGGCUAACUACGUG
rnacentral:rRNA from 1 species